rnacentral:misc_RNA from 1 species
GUGCGUUUCAACAGAUUGAUGAUAUACUGAUGUUGAGAUAACAAUAAGCCACCAUUGAAUUUAUUAACAGAAAUGCCAAGAAAGUAAUGUAGCGGUGCUGAUUCUUUGAUAGAAAACUUUUACCCCAAGCUUUGAAUGAAAUCGGCAAUUUUGUUGUUGUCAUUUCCAGUAACGAUAAGAUCGUCCACAUACACAAGAAAAU